rnacentral:rRNA from 2 species
GGUGGGGGGUCUAUAAUGCAAGUCGAGCGGACGGAUGGGAGCUUGCUCCCUGAAGUCAGCGGCGGACGGGUGAGUAACACGUGGGCAACCUGCCCUGCAGACUGGGAUAACACCGAGAAAUCGGUGCUAAUACCGGAUAACUUCCGAGACCUCAUGGUCUUGGGAUAAAAGAUGGCUCCGGCUAUCACUGCAGGAUGGGCCCGCGGCGCAUUAGCUAGUUGGUAAGGUAACGGCUUACCAAGGCGACGAUGCGUAGCCGACCUGAGAGGGUGAUCGGCCACACUGGGACUGAGACACGGCCCAGACUCCUACGGGAGGCAGCAGUAGGGAAUCUUCCGCAAUGGACGAAAGUCUGACGGAGCAACGCCGCGUGAGUGAUGAAGGAUUUCGGUUCGUAAAGCUCUGUUGUUAGGGAAGAACAAGUGCCGUUCGAAUAGGGCGGCACCUUGACGGUACCUAACCAGAAAGCCACGGCUAACUACGUGCCAGCAGCCGCGGUAAUACGUAGGUGGCAAGCGUUGUCCGGAAUUAUUGGGCGUAAAGCGCGCGCAGGCGGUCUUUUAAGUCUGAUGUGAAAGCCCACGGCUCAACCGUGGAG